rnacentral:lncRNA from 1 species
UAAGGACUGUACUGAGGUUUGGCUGGAGCUAAAACGGUGGGAAGAUAUGGAGCCCUGGACCAGUACCAGUGACAGUGCGAGCACRCAUGAUGAAACCAACCAGCCCAGCUCUGCAGAAGGAUUCUUUUUGGCCAUGAAGGGCUUGAGAGAGGAAAUCUACCCUGGAGAUCGACUUCUGAAAGUUAGAGUUUUACUAGUAAUUUGAUCUUCUAUUCUGAUCCUUCAUAGCAUUUUCACUCUUGUGAAUGAACAUGUGCCUCUCGUGGCUUCAGCCAGAUCAGCACUACAGUGGGGUCUGUCAUGUCAGCAUCACCUGUUGGCUGGGAACAGCUGAGUGAGCACACAUCUAGGUGACUCUCACUCAGGAAAUUAAUACAAGGAAUUUUCAAAAUAGGACUCUGCUAUUGUCAAUACCAUCAAAGGGGCGAGGGUGACGGGCGAGUGAAGAGUUAACAGGACUGAAGUUUGUCAAUUGAUAUGCAGAAGAACUGAUAGCACAAGAGCUGACGUGCGCAAAGCUGUUGAACAGAGGACUUAACAGGACUAAAGUCGUCUACCAACCGAUAUGUGCAAGGACUGAUAUGCGCAAGGCUGCGGAAUGGCAGCAUUAACAAGACGGAAGAAGUCUGCCACCUGGAAUCUGCACGGACCCCCGGGGAGGGAAGAAACAACACGGAGGUGUUGUGGUCUUGCCUCGCUAGCAGGGUCCUCCCAAGCAGACAAACAAACAGUCCUGUGAUUGUGAAACUCGCAAAAAGUCAGCAGCAAAAGCAGUGUUUGCCCAGAGCCCCAGCCGUAUAAAAAGAGACUUGGGAGCUAGGAGAGUUUGAGCAGGGACGGGAACGUGACCUGACCAUCCUCUCCGGCUGGACCGUGAGUAUCCCCCCCCCUCCCCUUUUCCUGGGACGCUGGGUUAAGGUAACUCCUCGAGGUUGAGAGCCCUCUCACUAGGAGAGUGAACAAGAAAGCUUUCAAGUAGGGAUAAGCAGUGCUUCCAAUUAAUAACGCAGUAAUCGACGGUUUCAGGUUAUCCUUUCUAAAUUAGUAACUGAUGGUUUUGUGUUAUCCUUUCUAAAUUAGUAAUCGCA